CUGACUGUAUUUCAUGUACCCAGUACAGAAAAAAGACUUUUGUGCUGUUCUGCCAUCUUGGCUACCUCCAAGAAGCAUUUCUAUAUCAACACAGGAUCCAUGCUGAAUAGUCGACAAGUAUCUAGUACCUGAAGCUGCCCCUGAGGGUCCAGGCAAGAGCUUCCAAGAACCAAGGUGGAGGAAGCACCAUAACUCUUCCUGAGGAUGAGGCCACAUUAACACAUCAUCCUAUGAAGGCUAGAAGUCAGUUAAGCAUCUGACUUCAGCUCAGGCCAUGAUC